rnacentral:rRNA from 1 species
UAAACCAUGCACCGAAGCUGCGGCAGCGACACUAUGUGUUGUUGGGUAGGGGAGCGUUCUGUAAGCCUGCGAAGGUGUGCUGUGAGGCAUGCUGGAGGUAUCAGAAGUGCGAAUGCUGACAUAAGUAACGAUAAAGCGGGUGAAAAGCCCGCUCGCCGGAAGACCAAGGGUUCCUGUCCAACGUUAAUCGGGGCAGGGUGAGUCGACCCCUAAGGCGAGGCCGAAAGGCGUAGUCGAUGGGAAACAGGUUAAUAUUCCUGUACUUGGUGUUACUGCGAAGGGGGGACGGAGAAGGCUAUGUUAGCCGGGCGACGGUUGUCCCGGUUUAAGCAUGUAGGCUGGUUGUCCAGGCAAAUCCGGAUAAUCAAGGCUGAGGUGUGAUGACGAGGCACUACGGUGCUGAAGUAACAAAUGCCCUGCUUCCAGGAAAAGCCUCUAAGCAUCAGGUAACAUCAAAUCGUACCCCAAACCGACACAGGUGGUCAGGUAGAGAAUACCAAGGCGCUUGAGAGAACUCGGGUGAAGGAACUA